rnacentral:rRNA from 1 species
GACGGAGGGUGCUAGCGUUGUUCGGAAUUACUGGGCGUAAAGGGCGCGUAGGCGGUCUGGUCAGUCGGAUGUGAAAGCCCGGGGCUCAACCCCGGAACGGCAUCCGAGACGGCCAGGCUGGAGACCGGGAGAGGAGAGUGGAAUAGCCAGUGUAGAGGUGAAAUUCGUAGAUAUUGGCUGGAACACCGGUGGCGAAAGCGGCUCUCUGGCCCGGUUCUGACGCUGAGGCGCGAAAGCGUGGGGAGCAAACAGG